UAUUUGGUUGUUUUAACAACCAUACAUUAUAUCUAAGGAUGAUAU
rfam:Picea glauca, whole genome shotgun sequence.